rnacentral:rRNA from 1 species
GAUGAACGCUGGCGGCGUGCCUAAUACAUGCAAGUCGAGCGAACAGACGAGGAGCUUGCCCCCCUGACGUUUGCGGCGGACGGGUGAGUAACACGUGGAAAACACACCUAUAUGACUGGGAUACCUUAGGGAAACCGGAGCUAAUACCGGACAAUAUAUUUAACCGCAUGGUUCAAUAGUGAAAGACGGUUUUGCUGUCACUUAUAGAUGGAUCCGCGCCGCAUUAGCUAGUUGGUGAGGUAACGGCUGACCAAGGCGACGAUGAGUAGCCGACCUGAGAGGAUGAACGGCAACAUUGGGACGGAGACACGGCCCAGACUACUACGGGAGGCAGCAGUGGGGAAGCUUACGCAAUGGAAGAAAGGCUGAAGGAGCAAAGCCGAGUGAGCGAUGACGGCCUUCGGGUUGUAAAGCUCUGUUAAUCGGGACGAAAGGCCUUCUUGCGAAUAGUGAGAAGGAUUGACGGUACCGGAAUAGAAAGCCACGGCUAACUACGUG